rnacentral:snRNA from 1 species
AGCUUUGCACAGUGGCAGUCUCAUAGCCAAUGAGGUUUAUCUGAGGCGCGAUUAUUGCUAAUUGAGAACUUUUGAAGUUGCCCUUGGUUAUUAUAUUGAUUCGAACGGCACCGAA